rnacentral:tRNA from 1 species
GAGAAUAUAGCUCAGUGGUAGAGUGCAUACUUAGCAUGCGUGAGGUCCUGGGUUCAAUCCCCAGAACCCUUG